UACGUAGGGACCGAGCGUUGUCCGGAUUCAUUGGGCGUAAAGAGCUCGUAGGCGGCUGCUCAAGUCGAAUGUGAAAACUCGAGGCUCAACCUCGAGCCUGCAUUCGAUACUGGGCGGCUAGAGUCUGGUAGGGGGAUCUGGAAUUCCUGGUGUAGCGGUGAAAUGCGCAGAUAUCAGGAAGAACACCAAUGGCGAAAGCAGCUCUCUGGGACGGUACUGACGCUGAGACGCGAAAGCGUGGGGAGCAAACAGG
rnacentral:rRNA from 1 species